AAACCUCUCCUUCCGGAAGCUGUCUGGGAGCCCAGGUCCCCCUGACCGGGGCCAUCGCCCGUUGAGGGUGCAAGGCCCGUGCGGCUCUCGGCGUCCGGAGGACGGUUUUAUUUCUCCCGGGAGUCGGGUUGCUUGGGAGUGCAGCCCUAAGAGGGUGGUAAACUCCAUCUAAGGCUAAAUACUUCCACGAGACCGAUAGCAAACAAGUACCGUGAGGGAAAGUUGCAAAGAACUUUGAAGAGAGAGUUCAAGAGUACGUGAAACCGCUCGUAGGUAAACGGGUGGGCCCUCGAAGGCAAGCAGGAGGGGAUUCAACCCGUUGGCAGUCGACCGUGCACUGCGGUUUUUCUCGAAACGGAUCCGAGAGACCGGCCCGUUGGUGCCGCGGUCGUCAGCGGGCGCACUUCCCCUUCUCGCGUCCCGUCGUCUUUACCGAAGGCGGGACCGAACGCCGCGACCGGUCGGGAGAUACGACGGCGGCCAAGCGGCGAGACUGGGCAGGUAUCCUACUCGUCCUUUCUGUCCGUUAAGCUCACUCUCGGGUGGGUGGGCAGGAUGGCUUGUAGGAGAUUUUUCAGCCCGUCUCGACCCGGCUCCGCCGCCCGACCGUGGUCUAGAACCGAGGUUCGACAACCGCGCAUGCGCCUCGACGCUCGAGCCCGUCCCGCACGUAGGGUUUUUCUGGCCGCCGAUAGACCCCUCCCCUCCGCCCUUGGCGGUUACAUGAAGCGGUCGCCCUGCG
rnacentral:rRNA from 1 species